rnacentral:rRNA from 1 species
UACGGAGGGUGCGAGCGUUGUCCGGAUUUAUUGGGUUUAAAGGGUGCGUAGGCGGCCCGUUAAGUCAGCGGUGAAAGUCAGUGGCUCAACCAUUGGAGUGCCGUUGAUACUGUCGGGCUUGAGUUCGGGAAGGGUACAUGGAAUUUAUGGUGUAGCGGUGAAAUGCAUAGAUACCAUAAGGAACACCGAUAGCGUAGGCAUUGUACUGGCCCGAAACUGACGCUGAGGCACGAAAGCGCGGGUAG